UUACAGCAGCAGUGCUAUAGAGUAGCUCCCAGGUGGACUUUCCUGCUAAGUCUUUGUUGCCAAAGAGGUGUGACUCUAUCUGUUCCUUAUGGGCAGUUCAUUUUCAUGAAGCUGUAACUGAAUCUCAAAUCAUACUUCUGGGAAUCCAGCACCAAUGUUGUAUGAAUGAAUUAAAGGAAGCCACGUUUGCGAGGAGCACACAGCAACACGCUGCCCUGGAGGAUGUGCACGGAGGAGCGAGCAAAACUAAUUUCCCUAAAGCUUCCGGGCGGCCCAACGCCUGCAGGAACCACCGGGGGGAGGUUGGCUGGGCCUGUCCUGCCGGAGGUGUGGGGUGAGCUGGAAGUGCCCCAGACACCCCGUCCCUGUCCCCUGCCCUCACAGCGCUGGCAGGAGGAUGUUGGAGCGCUCAGACAAUGGUGGAGGAAGCGGCUCUGACUGCGUUUCCCUUCUGCUCCUUGGAGAAUUGGGGGAGCGCACAAGCGAGGGCCGGAUUUAGCUCUUGGAUCAACAUGAAACGUCCCCGUGCCGCCUGCUCCCUUCCUUUGUGCUUGGCCCCUUGUCAUGGGAGUGGAAGCGGCGCGCACGAGGGGAUCAGAGGAGCAGAGGCACCGUGCAGCAGGCAGAGCCGCAAACACAAUGCGGGUGAAACAAAGAGCGGGGCUGUGUUUACUGCCUCCCCGGUGCCAUUCACGUCUGCUUGGAGCUGGUUUCCUCUUUUCAUGAGCCUCUUGACCCACAGAUCCCUCUCCUCAGCAGCCCCGGAGCCCCGUGCCUGGAUCUGACUGCCUCUUCAGAUCGAGCCAACACAACACAUCGGACACAAAGAGCCUGGGCUGUGUGUUCGCCUCGAGGCUUUAAGCUCCUUGUGCUGGCCCCCAGGGCUUGUGUUUGUUUUCCAAGCCCUGAGGACAGCAGCGGUGCUCUGGAAGUCCACACAAACAGAGGCAGCACCUGAAGGCUGCGGGCCCCAGGCCUGCUCCAUCCUGUGGAAGGUGUCCCAGGCCCUGUCAGCGAGGGCCAGCAGCCCCACAACCUCACACAUAAGCCUGGCAAAAUGAGGAACUCGUGCAGGAGCCUGCUAGAAGAAGGGUGGCACUGUUUGCCCUGGCUGAGACACCCUGUCCCACAACAACAGUUUUGGAGAGAGGUGCUUUGACUGUGAAACCCCUAAGGGUUUUAUAGCAUGCUGUUUGUGGUUGAUUUUCAAGCCCCCUCUUUCUCCAGGCCCAGCCUGCAUUACAGUGAGCGCGGGGCCUCUCACCGCAUUCAUCUCCUCAACUGGGCCUCGGGGUGCAGGCGUGCGAAGCAGCAGCUCGAGGGCAGGCUUUGGAAAAGGCACCCCGAAGGGCAUGAGGCAGGGAACCUCUGGGCCUGCUUUCUGCAGCCAGCACGACCUGAAAUCCUCCUGCUCAGGCAGCUGGCAGCACAAACGGGGGGAAUUCCUCGGGUGUGCCGUGCCCUGCAGGAGCUGGGCAGCCCGAGGUGACCCCACUGCUGCUGCUCGGAGCCCAAGCACAUCC